rnacentral:rRNA from 1 species
UACGUAGGCAGCUAGCGUUGUUCGGAAUUACUGGGCGUAAAGCGAGUGUAGGCGGUUUGCCAAGUCCGUUGUGAAAUCUCCCGGCUCAACUGGGAGGGUGCGGCGGAAACUGGCAGGCUAGAGUGCGGAAUGGGAGAGUGGAAUUCCUGGUGUAGCGGUGAAAUGCGUAGAUAUCAGGAGGAACACCGGUGGUGAAGACGGCUCUCUGGACCGCUACUGACGC